CCUACGGGAGGCAGCAGUGAGGAAUAUUGGUCAAUGGGCGCGAGCCUGAACCAGCCAAGUAGCGUGAAGGAUGACUGCCCUAGGGGGUGUACACUUCUUUUAUAAAGGAAUAAAGUGAGGCACGUGUGCAUUUGUGUAUGGACUUUAUGAAUAAGGAUCGGCUAACUCGGUGCAAGCAGCCGCGGUAAUACGUAGGAUCCGAGCUUUAUCCGGAUUUAUGGGGUUUAAAGGGAGCGUAGAUGGGUUGUUAAGUCAGUUGUGAAAGUUUGCGGCUCAACCGUAAAAUUGCAAUUGAUACUGGCAGCCUUGAGUACAGUUGAGGUAGGCGGAAUUCGUGGUGUAGCGGUGAAAUGCUUAGAUAUCACGAAGUACUCCGAUUGCGAAGGCAGCUUACUAAACUGCCACUGACAUUGAUGCUCGAAAGUGUGGGUAUCAAACAGGAUUCGAUACCCCGGUAGUC
rnacentral:rRNA from 1 species